rnacentral:lncRNA from 1 species
UUUCCAGAGGAUGUCUUUUUCGGAGUUAAGGCAGCGGAGACGUCCCCUGAAAGAGCGGAGUCGACUCUCUCAGAGAAUUCCAGAAGACAUGUUUUUCGGAGAUAUAACGGCGGAGUCGUCCCCAAGGCAGCGGAGUCAUCCCCAUGCAAAAAGUGCAAACAAGCCGAGACGUCCCCGUAAAGCGCCGAGGCGACCCUCUCAGAAAAACAGAAAAACAAGGAUUCAAACCGUUCAUCAUCGGAGUCGUCCCCGUAAAGUGCCGAGUCGACCCCAAACAAAGUGAAAAGUAAACUUAUACAGCCGAGACGUCUCGCGUUGAAGCGGAGACGUCUCCGGAGCGCCUGGGACGCGACUGACAACUUUUNN